rnacentral:rRNA from 1 species
GAUGAACGCUGGCGGCGUGCCUAAUACAUGCAAGUCGAGCAAACGGACGCGAAGCUUGCUGCUCUGAUGUUAGCGGCGGACGGGAGAGUAACACGUGGAUCACCUACCUAUAAGACUGGUAUAACUUCGGGACACGGUAGCUAAUACCGGAUAAUCUUCUGAACCGUAGUGUUCAAUAGAAAAAGUCGGUCUUGCUGGAACGUAUCGCUGGUUCCGCGCUUCAUUAGCUAGUUGGUAAGGUAACGGCCUACCAAGGCAACGAUGCGUAACCGAACUGAGAGGGGGAUCGGCCACAUUGGAGCUGAGACGGGGUCCAGAGUCCUAAGGGAGGCAGCAGUAGGGAAUGGGACGCAGCAGGCGAAAACCUGACGGAACGACGCCGAGUGAGAGACGAAGGUGUUCGGAGCGGAAUAAUGUGUUAUGAGUGAAGAACAGAUGUCGAAGUAGAUGAGGAGAUCUUGACGGUAAUGAGUAAAAAAGCAACGGCUAACUACGUG